rnacentral:rRNA from 1 species
CCGCAAGGUUGAAACUCAAAGGAAUUGACGGGGACCCGCACAAGCGGUGGAUGAUGUGGUUUAAUUCGAUGCAACGCGAAAAACCUUACCCACCUUUGACAUGGCAGGAACUUACCAGAGAUGGUUUGGUGCUCGAAAGAGAACCUGCACACAGGUGCUGCAUGGCUGUCGUCAGCUCGUGUCGUGAGGUGUUGGGUUAAGUCCCGCAACGAGCGCAACCCUUGCCAUUAGUUGCUACAUUCAGUUGAGCACUCUAAUGGGACUGCCGGUGACAAACCGGAGGAAGGUGGGGAUGACGUCAAGUCCUCAUGGCCCUUAUAGGUGGGGCUACACACGUCAUACAAUGGCUGGUACAAAGGGUUGCCAACCCGCGAGGGGGAGCUAAUCCCAUAAAGCCAGUCGUAGUCCGGAUCGCAGUCUGCAACUCGACUGCGUGAAGUCGGAAUCGCUAGUAAUCGUGGAUCAGAAUGUCACGGUGAAUACGUUCCCGGUC